UUCACAGCACUUGUAACUCUUUGAACUAGUGAACAGCCACUAAGCUCCUUUGAGCAGGGUCCUUGUCCCAGCGCCGACCACAGUGCCCGCACCCAGUAGGUGCGGCUGCUGGCCCGACGGAGCGCCCUCGUUUGUUGAGUCAUUGGGCAAGCCCCGAAGCCUGCCCUGCGCUGGGCCCCGGAAAUGACUCCUGCCGGGCCCUUGCUGUCUGAGAACGAACGGGAGGAGUUCUUGGAGAGGCCGACGGUCAGAGAGGAGCUGGGGCCGCGCAGGAAAUGGUCCGGCCCGCGAGGGAAUCCCGGAAGGCCUUCUGAGGCCUUGCUUUUGUGCCAGGCCUUGCCGGGUGCCGGCGAGCAGAAGUGAGGCAGGAGGGUGCCCCAGGCCGGGUAGCCCGUUGUGAGCAAGGCCUGGCGGUGUGCAUGCCCUCCAUCUCCGGGGAAGGAAGUCCUGUUGGGCCGGAGCACAGGCUCUGUGAAGGCGAACCAAGAGAUUCGGAGUUCGUGGACCCAUGGGCGGAUGCAGGGAUGCCGGCGGGGAGGGAGGAGUUUGUCUUCCGGGCGCGUGUGAUCGCGGGGUGCGGGUGAUAAGUGAUCGGAGGAGACUCGGCGCUGCGGGCGGUGGGGGCGGUGGGGGCGCUGCUGCCGGCGGCCGGGGGAGGCGGCGUGGACCGGGGAGCGGGAGGUGCAGGUGUGCCGAGAUGCUUUUUUGCGAUGUUGGUUUAGGGAUUGCUGUUUAUGUUUCCCUUGCCUCUCGUUUCUAGUAGGGAGCCUGGAUUUUUAAACCCUCGCCUCAGGAAAUUUGGUAAAAGAGGACGUCAUUUUUUGAAAAUGUAAUCUAAGGGUGGGAAAUUAAAGUCACUAUGAGGGGUGGGGGGCAGGCAGGCGGCUUCAAUUAGUGAAGCUGCCCAGGUGUGACGUCACUUGAUUUCUGUGCCUCACACGAAAAAGUAAGACUGCUCUUCUAGAGAUGCGUUCCAGACGCAGCCCCGUCUUCAGAUCCAGGACCCAAUCUUCUGGAGUUUUGGCCCGAAGCUCAAACUGGCGGUCUCUGGACCAAUCCAGCCGACAGGCCAGAGCUGAUAUUAGCCGCAAAUAACAGAACUGCAAGUUAAGUAAUGAAGAUCGAAGCUCAGUGGACGGCAGUUUGGAAAUCACUAUCUUUUGUAUACAGGCUCCUUCCUCAGAGGGGCCCUCGAAAGUCCAGGCUCUAUAGUUUCAAGUCCAGCAGAAGGAGAUCCUGUCUGCCCCACUGUUCUAAUGAAAGUCUUGGGAUUGAGUUUCAUUGGAUUGACUUGGGCUAAGUGUCCACCCUUGAACUGUCACUGUGACCAUAUGGGACAGAAUAAACCAAUUGGCCAGGCCUGAGAUAGUGUCAUCCAAAUCACAUGGGUUGAAAAUGUCCGAGGGGUGGCUCUGUCCUGGAGAAUCUGGCGCUGCUUCCAGAAGAAGGAGGAAUAGAUGCUGCAUGAGCAAAGAAGAGUGCGUACUCUGACCAGUUUGCAGCUUGCUGCCAUGGACAGUGUAUGGCUAGGGGUGACUCGACAGCCAGUGUUGGAAUUGUCUGGACUCCUCUCACUCACUUCUGGCCAUUGGCACUGGCUGCAGCUGGUGCCUCUGCUGGGGCUGUGGAACAGAGCAGACCUACUACACCUGGCCCCUCCAUGUGGCCUGGGCUUCCUCGUGGCAUGGCGGCCUUUGGAUAGUCAGACUUCUGACAGGGAGGCUCAGGGCCCCGUAUGCGAGCGUCUCAGCAAACAAGCACUGCCUUUAGCCUUGGAAGUCCUGUGGCAUCACUUCUUCUGCCACGAGUCCAAGGGCAGGGGAGGUGGAGUCCACCUCUCAGUGGGGAAGCGUAAGCUCAAGAAGAGCGUGUGGAAAAGGAAGGACUGUUGUGACUAUUUGGGAAAGCGGUGUGCCACAAGCAGUGUGAAAUACAGGAGGCUGGAAUCAAAAGAGCACGUGCCCUUUGCUUCGGUGUGCAUUGGCAGAACAUGUGGUUCCAUCCAGGUGAGCCUCACUUGUGUGCCCAGCAUCAUGUACCUUGGGUCGCUAGCUCCCAGUUCCGAAUUCCCAGGCGAGAGAUGCAUCUGGCACAGCUUGGGCCAGGCAGGCAUCGCAGCGCAAUGAGCAGGGGCCUGGACACCUCGGGGGUCACAAGUCACUGACUCGGCCUGGACCCGUCUCUUCAGGAAGAUGAGAAGCCCUCAGGACAAAACUGAUUUACUUUUUCUGAUUAUAGAGUAAUUCAGGGCACUGAAGAAUUUCAGAAGGUACAGAGAAGUACAAAAAAAUGAUGGAAAGUCUCCUAUGAUCUCCUAUCUGGAGAGAAUUCAGUGUCAAUCCAUUUCCUUUGUCUGAGAUUCUCACCUGCUUUUGGAAUGAUCAUGACCACAUAUUUUAUAUAUUGCUUUUAUACGAAAUCUUAAAUCAUUUUUAAUUUUUAAAUAUUUUAAUGUUUAAAUAAGUAGUCUAAAUAUUUUCAGUAACUCAUUAUUAUUUCCUUCCUGUCACGUCUUUUCAGUAAGCCUCAUUUUCAUACUUCACCCGUGGGCAGUACAUCCAGGGGGCACCACCGUUUUAUAUAACAAUUUCCCUAAAGUUGUUCAAGUUUUUUCUUAUUAUAGAGCACACUGGGAUGAUUUAGUCACAGUGUGACUAAAAUAUUGCCUGCAUAUCCUACUAUUUCCACAGGAAAAAUUCCCAAAGUAGGAAUUUCUGGGUGGGUCAAAAGCAAUGAGCAUUGUUAAAGUUCUUGAUAUGAAUUGCCCCAUUUCUUUGAAGAUGGACUGCACCUGUUUUGACUGUUAACAAAUGAUAUCAGGCAGGUGAUAUUUUAAAUGUGAAAGGCCCUAGUUCUCAGCUAGGUGGAAAGACGGCGAUGUACAUGCAUCUUCUGAUCCAGACUGACUGUUCCUGUAGGGACAGCUCCUGGAGUUUCUAGAAUGUUCCCCACCCUACCACACAGCAUCCUCCUUGUGCUUGAGGGCUGUGAUUUUCUGCAGGGUUGUGGGCAUCUGCGGCUUCCUGGACAAUGUCCUUCUCAACUGAUUCCAGCGCAGAACCCCAUUCACUGUUAGCAGACCGCAGCCUGAGCCCCAACAUUAUGUAAACAUCUCCUGGGGCCAUCACAGAAUUACCUGACACUCCAUUUACCUCCUCGGUACACCAGGGGCUGCUUGGAACACUACCAGGCAUAACUGCUUCUGUAGACGGGUCGGCAUAGUUAAGAUUUAGAACAGAUCACUUGAUAAACAAUUUCACAGAAGCCUCACAUUUCUUCUCUACGAGACCUACUUUCUCCCCAGUGUCUCCUGUGGAAAUGAUUUCACUGGCCUCUUUCAGAAAGGAAAAGUCGCUGGCCUUCUGCUGGAGUCUGUGUCAGGAGAUUAGAUUUCAGGGGAAAUGAGCCCCGGGCACUGAGGGGCUGAGGCCUCCUGUCUGUCUCUCUCUCUGUCUGCCUCUCCCUGAUGGGACCUCCUUGCUCUGCACCAUCACCUGUGAGGAAUCGAGGCAUCCUGCCUCCCUCCGUGGACUGGCUGCCCAGCAGUGUGUGCUGAGUGGAUCAAUGCAUGCAGGCCUGAAUGAGCCAAGGCUGCAGGAGGGGUAGGGUUAGGGGGCCAGCACCGGCUCGGGGGCUCCUGGCUCUCCAUGUCCAUUGUCUCAUCCAUCUUGAAGGUGACCAGGGUCCGGAGGAGGACGGAAACGUGGCACGGAGGUCAUGGUGUAUUUGGAACAAUGCUAACGUGUUCGUCUUUCCCUUUUGCCUUUCUGAGUCCGCGGCCUUCUCUCUGAGGGGCUGUCUGGGGGGAGAUUAGGAUUAGUGCAGAAAGUACCCAAACAGAAGAGAUGGUUAUAUUUGUGUUCUGAUACACAAAUAGACGUGUGCAGUGAGACAGUUGGCUCGAAAGCCGGGCACUGUGGAGUGGAUUUUCUGAGUUCAUUUAGCUCCUGUGUAACAGAUCCAGGCCCAUCUGGUAGCCGAGAACCUACUCCGUGUAGGGGGACACCUUCUAUCUGUGAGGGCCUGAGUCUUCAUGUUCAGUCUAGUUUUAUUUGAAAGCAGCUGUCCCACUUUGCAAGCCCUGGAAGUUGGCAGAGAGGAGAGAGACGAGGGAGAGGUGGGUGAUGAGAUACGUGUCCAGCCCCCCGGGAGGUACAUGGAGGGGCCUGAGUGCAGGGCUGUCUUGUGGAGUGGGCCCAGUGCAGUGAUGAGGUGGGCAUGCCUCAGGCAGUAUGAGGGUCUCCUCUGUACAGCUGAGCUUUCCUGGGGUUUCAUAGGGGAGUUGAAAGCCAGCAAGCCCAGGGCCAAGGUGAUCCUACAUCAGAGGGGGCUGGACGGACAGCUUGGGACAAAUGCUUGAUGGAAGAUGUGGGACAGAGUGUCUAAGGCCUGAGGGGCAGUGAGAGCUGAGGUGAGGCAGGUGGAGGGAACUGGGGCAUUACUGGGCCCUGAGCAA